GUCCACACCCUUCUCUGAUGGUCCACUAGAAGGACCGUCAGGGGAUAAGAGAGUUCAUGGACUGGAGAGGAAGGUAGAGGAUAGGAAAGCACAUAAACACAGGGAAAGAGCUGAGGAUGUCCUUGCCUGCCCCCGCCUUGUCCACUGGAAGCUGUGCAAUGACGCUUCGCCUCUUCCCCAGCUCCAUCACACAGCCCGCCGUUAGGCAAUGUGCAGCUCUUCAUGCCGCUGGCCAAGCUCCUAUCAGGCGUCUGAAGGAGGCAGCUUCUGAGGAUCUGUGUCCUCAUGGCUGCUGAACCAUCUGCUCCAGAUUCAAGGGCAGCCGUCCUCAGGAGACCACGACACUUCACAUCCCUGUUGGGAUAUGAGGCCCGGCCUGACUAUUCCGUCACAAUGAAUUCCUGGGAUCUUGAGUGGGCAGAGGAGAGGAAGAGAGCAUGCACGUAUUGGACCGUCAGAGGAGGGUGUGGACUCUGAGCCUCAGAAGCAGGAGCUGACAGAGAAGAACCAAGUGUGCUGGCGCGUGUGCAGACAGGUUCCUGGAGCAAGAGUGAGGAGAUCAGGGUCCCAUCAUUGGGACACUUCAGCUCUUCAUGCAGAUGACGGACCCCAUGGCGUCGGGUGGCUGAGAGGAUGCAGCUUCUCAGGACUCUGCACCGGAUGGCUGAUAGAUGGGAAGCAUUUCCGGUGUGAGGACCUUCCAGCGCUUCGCGGGUGCCACAGAAAGCUGACGCGAUACGGCGACCAUGACGACAUUGUAAUAGAGACAGACGUGGCCUCGCGAGAAGAGCAGGUCCCGCCUUCAGGUGUUGGGGACGCGGGAGAUGACACAGGGAACGGCUCUCUCUGAGCCCCAGUUGCCCCCUCUGUUAAACGGGAUGAGAAUGCUCAAACCCCAGGAUCGCUGUGAGCGUUCAGUGACAACACCUCUUCAUGCCGCUGGCCGAGCUCCUAUCAGGCGUCUGAAGGAGGCAGCUUCUGAGGAUCUGUGUCUCCAUGACUGCUGAACCAUCUGCUCCAGAUUCAAGGGCAGCCGUCCUCAGGAGACCCCGACACUUCACAUCCCUGCUUGGAUAUGAGGCCUGGUCCGACUCUUCAUGCCAGUGGCCAAGCUCCUAUCAGGCGUCUGAAGGAGGCAGGUUUUGAGGAUCUGUGUCCUGCUGGCUGCUGAACCAUCUGCUGCAGAUUCAAGGGCAGCCGUCCUCAGGAGACCCCAGCCCUUCACAUCCCUGCUGGGAUAUGAGGCCCGGCCCGAGUGACUUCUUAGGUUCCAACGAAAGCAUGUUGUGGAUUCCGUCCUGUGAGGUUCACAAAGGAGCCUCAAAGGAGAGAAGCUGAUUUGAUCCCCUCAUGAAAGAAGACAUUUAGCAGAUGGAAUCCAUUCCUUCAGCAGCUGCAUGCUCUGUGGUAGCCCUGAAGCCCAAAUUAGAGAAGUCUUUUUUUUUUUUUUUGCCAAAAAGCAGUGGAUUGUCCACUUGGGAAGAUGGGUGUGGAAAUAUGCAGUAGUUGCAUCUUUCUGGCAAUUUGACGUUGUCAUGUAAAUUCUUCCCUGGUGACCAUGGCUUUUUUCCUCUUUGGACCGUCAGAGGAGGGUGUGGACUCUGAGCCUCAGAAGCAGGAGCUGACAGAGAAGAACCAAGUGUGCUUGCGCGUGUGCAGACAGGUUCCUGGAGCAAGAGUGAGGAGAUCAGGGUCCCAUCACUGGGACACUUUAGGUAAGUCUCUCCUCUUCCACCAGUCCCGUGUAUUCAGCAGGAUGACGGUACCCAUUGCUGCCGGCCACCCGGGAAUCCUCUGGAGUUUGAGUGUGAUCCCAUGUGGGAAAGCAAUCUGUGCUCGUAGGUGGGAGGAAGGACCAGUGCACUUUCAAGGAAUUACAUUAACAGAGACACCCCAGAUAUCGCGGAACUCUGCGUGGCAGACAUCAAAUUAAUAGCACAAAACGCCAGAUACUUAGGUCAGGAUUUCUCCAAGUGUGGUCCGUGGGCUGGGUCACAAAAUCGUCAUGGGUGCUGGUUGAAACAGCAGAUGCACGGCCCACCCUACGUCUCCUGCAUCCAGAAUGGGGAGGUGGGGUGGGAGGUGUCUGCAUGUUGAACAAUUUCUCCUGUUGGAUGCGGUAUGCGUCCCAAGUUUGAAGAGCACUGCUCUGCAUUUGCAACAAGGUUCUUAAAAUGUUGCAUCCUUUGAUGUCUAAUUUUGGUGUCAGUUUCUCCUGCAACUCAGAUUGAAAUAUCUGUGUCUGCUCCCAGUGGGUCAAAAAGGGGACAAUUCUUUAUUCUCAGCAAUACUUCCUCAGUGUUUUCUGUAUGAGGGACUGCAUUCAUCUUCCAAGGCUGCCAUAGCAAAGUCCCGCAAGCUGGGCGGCUUCACAAUAGACACGUCUUGUCUCACAGUUCUGGAGGCUGGAAGUGGAUAAUCAAGGUGGUGCCGGGCCGUGCUCCCUCUGAAAGCUGUCGCAGAAUCUCUCUGUGCUUCUUCCUGC